GCCGGGCGUGGUGGCACAUGCCUAUAAUCCCAGCUACUAGGGAGGCUGAGGCAGGAGAAUCGCUUGAACCUGGGAGGCGGAGAUUGCGGUGAGCCGAGAUCCUGCCAUUGCACUCCAGCCUGGGCAACAAGAGUGAAACUCCUUCUCAAAAAAAAAAAAAAAAAAGACUCAGGAGGUGGAGGUUGCAGUGAGUCAAGAUCAUGCCACUGCACCACUCCAGCCUGGGUGAUAAAGUGAGACCCUGUCUCA
rnacentral:sRNA from 1 species